rnacentral:rRNA from 1 species
CCUACGGGAGGCAGCAGUGAGGAAUAUUGGUCAAUGGGCGAGAGCCUGAACCAGCCAAGUCGCGUGAGGGAGUACUGCCCUAUGGGUUGUAAACCUCUUUUGUCGGGGAGCAAAAGCCGGACGGGUCCGGCUGUGAGAGUACCCGAAGAAAAAGCAUCGGCUAACUCCGUGCCAGCAGCCGCGGUAAUACGGAGGAUGCGGGCGUUAUCCGGAUUUAUUGGGUUUAAAGGGUGCGCAGGCGGAUUUUUAAGUCAGCGGUAAAAUCGUGGGGCUCAACCCCAUCCAGCCGUUGAAACUGGGGAUCUAGAGUGUGCGAGAGGUAUGCGGAAUGCGUGGUGUAGCGGUGAAAUGCAUAGAUAUCACGCAGAACCCCGAUUGCGAAGGCAGCAUACCGGUGCACAACUGACGCUCAGGCACGAAAGCGUGGGUAUCGAACAGGAUUAGAUACCCCUGUAGUC